rnacentral:rRNA from 1 species
UACAGAGGUGGCAAGCGUUGCUCGGUAUCACUGGGCUUAAAGGGCGCGUAGGCGGUGCGGUACGGUUCGGUGAAACUCCCUCGGCCCGAACCGCGGAACAGCCGGAGCUACGGCCGGACUAGACGGCAUCAGGGACAGUGGAACGUCCAGGUGGAGCGGUGAAUGCGCAGAGUAUCAGGAAGAACACCCGUGGCGAAGGCGGCUCUCUGGGACGGUACUGACGCUGAGACGCGAAGCGUGGGGAGCGAACAGG